rnacentral:rRNA from 1 species
UUGAACGCUGGCGGCAGGCCUCACACAUGCAAGUCGAGCGGAUGAAGGGAGCUUGCUCCUGGAUUCAGCGGCGGACGGGUGAGUAAUGCCUAGGAAUCUGCCUGGUAGUGGGGGAUAACGUCCGGAAACGGGCGCUAAUACCGCAUACGUCCUGAGGGAGAAAGUGGGGGAUCUUCGGACCUCACGCUAUCAGAUGAGCCUAGGUCGGAUUAGCUAGUUGGUGGGGUAAAGGCCUACCAAGGCGACGAUCCGUAACUGGUCUGAGAGGAUGAUCAGUCACACUGGAACUGAGACACGGUCCAGACUCCUACGGGAGGCAGCAGUGGGGAAUAUUGGACAAUGGGCGAAAGCCUGAUCCAGCCAUGCCGCGUGUGUGAAGAAGGUCUUCGGAUUGUAAAGCACUUUAAGUUGGGAGGAAGGGCAGUAAGUUAAUACCUUGCUGUUUUGACGUUACCAACAGAAUAAGCACCGGCUAACCUCGUG